rnacentral:lncRNA from 1 species
GGUGUUGUCUGUGCUUGCAUUCCCAACGUUCACAUGAGGAAUUAUCAAUGGGUUCCGGACAUAAUCAGCCACACAGCAGAGUGAAUUCCAGGAGUGUAAAUAACAAGAGCUGCCUAUAAAUCUACCUCCGAAGACAAAGGGAAAAGCAAAACUCUGCCCAGGAAGACCUUACUUUACAAACCGGCUCAACCAUAUUUACCAGCCUUCCUGUGGUCAUUUGUCUGAGCUCCAGCUAGUGAAGUAUGAGUAGAACGGACAUGCACCACUUCCAGACCUGGCACCGGCAAACCCCCCAUGGCAACCCUCCAACCCUUUCCUCAACAACUGGACCACGCUGGAAAGGACUGAGGAUCUAGAGGAGGACAGGGCUGUAAUAUGGAAGGAGUUUGGUUUCUGAAGGACCAUGUAGCAGGCCACCUGCAGGGCGGGAACAUCUUUAAUAGGUUUGGAAUAGCAAGAAAUAAACUGGUCUUGUAUUAAACAACUAA